rnacentral:misc_RNA from 1 species
GAUGAAGAACGUAGCGAAAUGCGAUACUUGGUGUGAAUUGCAGAAUCCCGUGAACCAUCGAGUCUUUGAACGCAAGUUGCGCCCGAAGCCAUCAGGUUGAGGGCACGUCUGCCUGGGCGUCACAUAUCGUUGCUCGAUGCCUAUCGCAUUGCGAUAGGACUUAGGGCGAAUGAUGGCUUCCCGUGAGCGUUGUUGCCUCGCGGUUGGUUGAAAAUCGAGUCCUUGGUAGGGUGUGCCAUGAUAGAUGGUGGUCGAGUUAGCACGAGACCGAUAAUGUGCAUGCUCCCCAAAAUAUGGCCUCUGUGACCCACACGCGUCUUUUGACGCUCAUGACGAGACCUCAGGUCAGGCGGGGCUACCCGCUGAAUUUAAGCAUAUCAAUAAGCGGAGGA